UACAGAGAAGAUUAGCAUGGCCUCUGCACAAGGAUGACAUGCAAAUUCAUGAAGUGCUCUCUAUUUAA
rnacentral:snRNA from 1 species